AUUGAACGCUGGCGGCAGGCCUAACACAUGCAAGUCGAACGAGCGGCGGACGGGUGAGUAAUGUCUGGGGACCUGCCCGAUGGAGGGGGAUAACUACUGGAAACGGUAGCUAAUACCGCAUACUAUCGGAUGUGCCCAUAUGGGAUUAGCUAGUAGGUGGGGUAACGGCUCACCUAGGCGACGAUCCCUAGCUGGUCUGAGAGGAUGACCAGCCACACUGGGACUGAGACACGGCCCAGACUCCUACGGGAGGCAGCAGUGGGGAAUAUUGCACAAUGGGCGCAAGCCUGAUGCAGCCAUGCCGCGUGUAUGAAGAAGGUCUUAGGGUUGUAAAGUACUUUCAGUGGGGAGGCGUUACCGGCAGAAGAAGCACCGGCUAACUCCGUGCCAGCAGCCGCGGUAAUAC
rnacentral:rRNA from 1 species